rnacentral:rRNA from 1 species
AAGGCGCGCGAUACAGGGUGACAGCCCCGUACACAAAAAUGCACAUGCUGUGAGCUCGAUGAGUAGGGCGGGACACGUGGUAUCCUGUCUGAAUAUGGGGGGACCAUCCUCCAAGGCUAAAUACUCCUGACUGACCGAUAGUGAACCAGUACCGUGAGGGAAAGGCGAAAAGAACCCCGGCGAGGGGAGUGAAAAAGAACCUGAAACCGUGUACGUACAAGCAGUGGGAGCACGCUUAGGCGUGUGACUGCGUACCUUUUGUAUAAUGGGUCAGCGACUUAUAUUCUGUAGCAAGGUUAACCGAAUAGGGGAGCCGAAGGGAAACCGAGUCUUAACUGGGCGUUAAGUUGCAGGGUAUAGACCCGAAACCCGGUGAUCUAGCCAUGGGCAGGUUGAAGGUUGGGUAACACUAACUGGAGGACCGAACCGACUAAUGUUGAAAAAUUAGCGGAUGACUUGUGGCUGGGGGUGAAAGGCCAAUCAAACCGGGAGAUAGCUGGUUCUCCCCGAAAGCUAUUUAGGUAGCGCCUCGUGAAUUCAUCUCCGGGGGUAGAGCACUGUUUCGGCAAGGGGGUCAUCCCGACUUACCAACCCGAUGCAAACUGCGAAUACCGGAGAAUGUUAUCACGGGAGACACACGGCGGGUGCUAACGUCCGUCGUGAAGAGGGAAACAACCCAGACCGCCAGCUAAGGUCCCAAAGUCAUGGUUAAGUGGGAAACGAUGUGGGAAGGCCCAGACAGCCAGGAUGUUGGCUUAGAAGCAGCCAUCAUUUAAAGAAAGCGUAAUAGCUCACUGGUCGAGUCGGCCUGCGCGGAAGAUGUAACGGGGCUAAACCAUGCACCGAAGCUGCGGCAGCGACGCUGAUGCGUUGUUGGGUAGGGGAGCGUUCUGUAAGCCUGCGAAGGUGUGCUGUGAGGCAUGCUGGAGGUAUCAGAAGUGCGAAUGCUGACAUAAGUAACGAUAAAGCGGGUGAAAAGCCCGCUCGCCGGAAGACCAAGGGUUCCUGUCCAACGUUAAUCGGGGCAGGGUGAGUCGACCCCUAAGGCGAGGCCGAAAGGCGUAGUCGAUGGGAAACAGGUUAAUAUUCCUGUACUUGGUGUUACUGCGAAGGGGGGACGGAGAAGGCUAUGUUGGCCGGGCGACGGUUGUCCCGGUUUAAGCGUGUAGGCUGGU